rnacentral:rRNA from 1 species
CCUACGGGUGGCUGCAGUGGGGAAUAUUGCACAAUGGGCGCAAGCCUGAUGCAGCCAUGCCGCGUGUGUGAAGAAGGCCUUCGGGUUGUAAAGCACUUUCAGCGGGGAGGAAGGCGGUGAGGUUAAUAACCUCAUCGAUUGACAUUACCCGCAGAAGAAGCACCGGCUAACUCCGUGCCAGCAGCCGCGGUAAUACGGAGGGUGCAAGCGUUAAUCGGAAUUACUGGGCGUAAAGCGCACGCAGGCGGUCUGUCAAGUCGGAUGUGAAAUCCCCGGGCUCAACCUGGGAACUGCAUUCGAAACUGGCAGGCUAGAGUCUUGUAGAGGGGGGUAGAAUUCCACGUGUAGCGGUGAAAUGCGUAGAGAUCUGGAGGAAUACCGGUGGCGAAGGCGGCCCCCUGGACAAAGACUGACGCUCAGGUGCGAAAGCGUGGGGAGCAAACAGGAUUAGAUACCCGAGUAGUC